rnacentral:rRNA from 1 species
AUUGAACGCUGGCGGCAUGCCUAACACAUGCAAGUCGAGCGGAGCGGCUGACGGGUGAGUAAUGCCUAGGAAUCUGCCUGGUAGUGGGGGAUAACGUCCGGAAACGGGCGCUAAUACCGCAUAUCAUUUGCUGAGCCUAGGUCGGAUUAGCUAGUUGGUGGGGUAAAGGCCUACCAAGGCGACGGUCCGUAACUGGUCUGAGAGGAGGAUCAGUCACACUGGAACUGAGACACGGUCCAGACUCCGACGGGAGGAAGCAGUGGGAAAUAUGGGACAAUGGGCGAAAGCCUGAUCCAGCCAUGCCGCGUGUGUGAGGAAGGUCUUCGGAUUGUAAAGCACUUUAGGUUGGGAGGCGUUACCAACCGAGUAAGCACCGGCUAACUUCGUGCCAGCCGCCGCGGUAAGAC